rnacentral:misc_RNA from 1 species
AACUCGGUUUACUUUACCGCAAGCAUGCAUCCUCAAAUAACAUCUAUACUUCUGAGUGAAUUUCAUCAUACAACUGGGCCAAUGGUAAAGUACCAGGUUCCCAGAGAGGUAAUAACGAAAGCCCAUUUUGACACGAUCCACAAUUAUAUUAUCCCUAAACCAGAGUUCCAAGGAAGGCUUAUGACUGUAAAUGCACUAGGCUACAAAAUUGUCGGCUGUCCGGUAUCAAUCGGCGACACAAAGUAUCAGAGGAACGCCCUCAUGUUCAACCUCUGUUUUGUUUUUGAACAAGAUGUAGACACUAUUAACCAUGAACCUGUUGUGAAAAAGUUGGCCUCAUAUCUAACACAGAUUGAGCUGGAGAGUGGGUUUUUAUCAGCUGAGAGGAGUCAGGGCCUCAUACCACAAUUCAUGGAAAAGGUACUACAUCUGCUGAAUAAAUAUGGACGCUGCAGCAUUCCUGUUGGUGAAUCCAUUACUGUCCAUCUUAAGGUAACAGUCAAUAUCAGUGAGCCCCCACCUGUUCUGGACCACGAUGUACCCAUCCUCAUCAGGGACAGGGUGAGGCCACAUCAUGAAUGGGACCUCACUACACAACAGGUAAGAUACACAGGUACCUCAAUACACUGCAGGUAAGAUUACAAAGGUAACUCACUACACGUCACGUAAGACACACAAGUAACUCCCAACACAGCAGGUAAGAUAUACAGGUAACUCAGUUCACAGCAGGUAAGAUUACACAGGUAACUCACUACACAGCAGGUAAGAUUACACACUCGGGUAACUCACUACACAGCAGGUAAGAUACGCAGGUAACUCUCUAUACCUUAUUUUUUUAACUUGAAAAAUAUUUUUUAAAACUGCCAGAAAUGGAAAUUGAUCUUUUAAUUACAUAAGGUGUCAUACUAAUAAUUUAAAGAGAAAAAACAUCACUUUGGCCAAAAAAUUUCUUGGUAGGGACCCACCUGAAGUCAGAUAUGUACACUUUCACAGAAAAAUGCAAACAAUUUUAAUGGUAAUAGUUAAAUUAAUGAAUUUAAUGUCACUCAUGUCUUCUUUAUGGACAGGUUCUUCCCUACAUAGACGGAUUCAAUCCAACGUGUCGGAUAGCUGUGGAAGCAGAUGUGGAGAUUAAUCUUGUGAAGUCCUGCCUACAAAACCUUCUGCAUUACAACAUCAUAAAAAUCAUUCCAGUCUUCCAGUAUUCCAAUAUGUACACUGUGACGUCAGAUAUCAAGAAGCUGUACUCGGACCUACAGGAGCAGUGUGUGCUCUCUGUCGCAAUCAAAGGCCACACACUGCCCCGUUUGCGAGACAUUAUGACCCUCUACACAAGUAUGACCAAUGGGGUGACAGUUAAGGACCUCUGUUGUCGCUAUAAUCCACAUGGACUUAAAAUUGAUGAAAAAAAGCUGAUCCAGUUUGGUGUGGUGAAGAAUCUAAUUCGAGUCCUCAGGAAGUACCCUAUUGUGGUCCCCUCCAACUCUGAACCCGACCCACGGCUCCGGUCCCUCUACUCCUUGUUUGAUGGGCUUCAUUGCUUAGAUGAAAUCUGCUGUAAAGUGGGCAUUGGGCAGUCAGAGUUGGAGGAGAGAAUUGAGAAUGAUCCCAAUGUAAGAGUGUGUAUGAAAUAGGGAGACAGACGUCAAGUGACACAAGUCCAAGAUAUCUGUAAAAGACUGGCCCCGCAGGGAAGUGAGCCAAGGAGCGGAAUCUCGAACACAAUCUCUGUGGACCCAUCUAAACAGUGAAGAUGGAAAUUAUAAACAAUGGAAUCAUCUACAACGUGUCGAUAACGCAAAACACAGUUGUCACAUCUUUACAAUGUUAGAUGUAAUGUGCAAUGAAAUCAUAUUACAGGUAAAAGAUGGGCAUAAAACUGAGUGGAUCCUCUGUACAAGUGAAGAAGGAAAAUUUCUGCUGGGGACCCACAGUUCAACCAUCUUUACAAUAUUGAUGUAUGUGACACAGGAAAACCAUGAUCAAUACCUAUGGAAUGAAGAUAAAUGAAGUACAUUAUGGAACCAUCUAUAACAUGUAGAUAGAGAUUGUACACAGUGCAACCAUCUACACAAUACUGGCAUAAUCUGUACAGGUGUACAAUAAUUUUAAUUUACAAUAGAUGUAUAUGUACAACACUUACUGUACAAUAAAGUAACAUCAGAUGUAUGUACUACACUAACUGUACAAUAGAUCUACAUCAAGUGUUCAUGUGUCUACUACACUAACUGUACAAUAAAGUUACAUUAGGUGUGUGUCAUGCACUAACUUUACAAUAGAUUUACAUGAGAUGUACAUGUAUGUACUAUAUCACCUAUGCAAGAUGUACCAUGUUUGUAGAAAGUUGUAUGUUGUAAUUGUGCUUUUGGAAAAACAUGUUAAGCGUUUACAUAAAACCCGCCUGUCUAAAUUCUUAUGUCAUGACUAUAUUGAAUUAAAGAAUUG